UGGGGGAUAUUGCACAAUGGGCGAAAGCCUGAUGCAGCGACGCCGCGUGGGGGAUGAAGGCCUUCGGGUUGUAAACUUCUUUUGCUCUGAACAAGGCAUGCUUUUGGGGUGUGUUGAGUGUAGGGGUUGAUUAGCGCCGGCUAACUACGUGCCAGCAGCCGCGGUAAUACGUAGGGCGCGAGCGUUGUCCGGAAUUAUUGGGCGUAAAGGGCUUGUAGGUGGCUGGUUGCGUCUGUCGUGAAAGCUCAUGGCUUAACUGUGGGUUUGCUGUGGGUACGGGCUGGCUUGAGUGCAGUAGGGGAGGCUGGAAUUCCUUGUGUAGCGGUGGAAUGCGCAGAUAUCAGGAGGAAUACCGGUGGCGAAGGCGGGUCUCUGGGCUGUUACUGACGCUGAGGAGCGAAAGCGUGGGGAGCGAACAGG
rnacentral:rRNA from 1 species